rnacentral:rRNA from 1 species
CCUACGGUGGGCAGCAGUGAGGAAUAUUGGUCAAUGGCCGAGAGGCUGAACCAGCCAAGUCGCGUGAGGGAAGACGGCCCUACGGGUUGUAAACCUCUUUUGUCGGGGAGCAAAGCGAGUCACGUGUGACUCAUUGAGAGUACCCGAAGAAAAAGCAUUGGCUAACUCCGUGCCAGCAGCCGCGGUAAUACGGAGGAUGCGAGCGUUAUCCGGCUUUAUUGGGUUUAAAGGGAGCGGAGGCCGCAUGUCAAGCGUGCUGUGAAAUGUCCGGGCUCACCCCGGGCCUUGCAGCGCGAACUGGCGUGCUUGAGUCAGCGGAAAGCAGGCGGAAUUCGUGGUGUAGCGGUGAAAUGCUUAGAUAUGACGAAGAACCCCGAUUGCGAAGGCAGCUUGCUGCAGCGGAACUGACGCUGAUGCUCGAAAGCGCGGGUAUCGAACAGGAUUAGAUACCCGAGUAGUC